UGGGGAAUCUUGCACAAUGGGGGAAACCCUGAUGCAGCGACGCCGCGUGAACGAUGAAGCCCUUCGGGGUGUAAAGUUCUUUCGACAGGAACGAUAAUGACGGUACCUGGAGAAGAAGCUGCGGCUAACUACGUGCCAGCAGCCGCGGUAAUACGUAGGCAGCGAGCGUUGUUCGGAGUUACUGGGCGUAAAGAGUGCGUAGGCGGCGAGCCAAGUUUGGUGUGAAAUCUCCCGGCUUAACCGGGAGGGUGCGCCGAAAACUGGUUGGCUGGAGUAUGGGAGAGGAAAGCGGAAUUCCUGGUGUAGCGGUGAAAUGCGUAGAUAUCAGGAGGAACACCUGCGGUGUAGACAGCUUUCUGGACCAAAACUGACGCUGAGGCACGAAAGCGUGG
rnacentral:rRNA from 1 species